GACAGAGGUGCCAAGCGUUAGGCGGAAUCACUGGGCUUAAAGCGUGUGUAGGCGGAUAUCUAAGUACCUUGUGAAAUCCCACGGCUCAACCGUGGAACUGCUUGGUAUACUGGGUGUCUUGAGCCAUCUAGGGGCUACCGGAACAAAUGGUGGAGCGGUGAAAUGCGUAGAGAUCGGAAAGAACACCAACGGCGAAAGCACUCUGCUGGGCCGACACUGACACUGAGAGACGAAAGCUAGGGGAGCGAAUGGG
rnacentral:rRNA from 1 species